rnacentral:lncRNA from 1 species
CUAUCCUCAGGACCUUAUUCAAAACAGAACUCAAGACUGUGAGACACCCACACUGUAAGGCCAAAACUAUCACAAACAUGUCCCUCUCCCCAGCUAUGCAGCCCACCACCAAGUCAAAAGUCAGAUCACUGACUCUAAAGAGAGAGAGAGAGAGAGGCGGGCCCUUAUUUAAACAAAACCGGUAACUGGGUUUCUUGGAUAAUGCUAAAAAAAGACUAGAGUGAGAAAUACACUACUGACUACUCUACAAAAUGAAACAAGUUAUGUUCUGUGGAUUAUUUGGGAUACAGCUCUACUAGAAACACAUUUGUCUACAUUACAUUUGAAUACUCUUAAAACAGCAAUAAAAGUCCCACUCACCGAGAUGGAGUAGAUAAGUGCAGCAAUGCCAAGUGGCAGGCAGCAGCACAGCAUGGUGAAAAUGGAGUAGCCCAGGUAGUCUGGCAGAGGGUAAGGCAGAGCUCCAUGGGUAACAAACACCGUAGGCUGGACUGUGACGGUGGACUGGGGGUACUGUCCCGGGGGGUACUGUCCCUGGUGGUAUGGCUGGCUGUAAGGGGCCCCGGGAGCUCCUCCAUACUGUGGCGGUGGUGCGUAGCCCUGGGGAUUGGGGGGGUAGCCUGCUGGUGCUUGGUAGCCUGCUGGUGCGGGGUAUCCUGCGUUGGGGUACUGGGGGUGGUCCUGGUAGGGUGGAGGAGCUGGUUGUCCCAUCCCAGACUUCUCAUCUGGGUUCCAGCCUGGUGGUGGGGCGUUUGGCAUCUUGUUGGGAUCCAUUUUUUUGUGCUGUUGGUGAUUUGUUUCCCUUUUAUCUUUCUUCUCUCUUUCUUUAUUUUGUGCCUCCUCUCAAUCUCUCCAAGCGUUCUUAUGUGUCUCUCUUCCUAAACUGUCUGCCUGCCUACAAGCUGAGUAAAGCAAGCAAUUACACUCUCUAUUCCCCUCCCCUGUCCGUCCCUGGCAGCUCAAUAGGCUUAGAGGAGGCCUGUGUGGGUGAGCUGACAGGGAACGGUUAGGGGUGGGGAAAGACUGAGUAGCUGACUGGAGUCAAAUAACAACUCUA